UGGUGUUAGCUUCAGCAGCUCGAUAAAAUUGGAAUGAUAAGGAGAAGAUUAGCACGGCCCCUGGCAAGGAUGACACUCAAACUCUCUAGAAGCAUUCCGCAAGGGG
ensembl:snRNA U6 U6 spliceosomal RNA